GUUGGUGAACCAGCGGAGGGAUCAUUACCGAGUUUACAACUCCCAAACCCAAUGUGAACGUUACCAAACUGUUGCCUCGGCGGGAUCUCUGCCCCGGGUGCGUCGCAGCCCCGGACCAAGGCGCCCGCCGGAGGACCAACCAAAACUCUUAUUGUAUACCCCCUCGCGGGUUUUUUUAUAAUCUGAGCCUUCUCGGCGCCUCUCGUAGGCGUUUCGAAAAUGAAUCAAAACUUUCAACAACGGAUCUCUUGGUUCUG
rnacentral:misc_RNA from 1 species